rnacentral:tRNA from 2 species
AAAGAGGUCAGCUAAAUAAGCUAAUGAGUUCAUACCUCAUAAAUGAAUUGUUUAUUAUACCCUCUA